rnacentral:rRNA from 1 species
UCUCCUGGAAACGGGUGGUAAUGCCGGAUGCUCCAGUUGACCGCAUGGUCCUCUGGGAAAGCUUUUGCGGUAUGGGAUGGGGUCGCGUCCUAUCAGCUUGAUGGCGGGGUAACGGCCCACCAUGGCUUCGACGGGUAGCCGGCCUGAGAGGGCGACCGGCCACAUUGGGACUGAGAUACGGCCCAGACUCCUACGGGAGGCAGCAGUGGGGAAUAUUGCACAAUGGGCGCAAGCCUGAUGCAGCGACGCCGCGUGCGGGAUGACGGCCUUCGGGUUGUAAACCGCUUUUGACUGGGAGCAAGCCCUUCGGGGUGAGUGUACCUUUCGAAUAAGCACCGGCUAACUACGUGCCAGCAGCCGCGGUAAUACGUAGGGUGCAAGCGUUAUCCGGAAUUAUUGGGCGUAAAGGGCUCGUAGGCGGUUCGUCGCGUCCGGUGUGAAAGUCCAUCGCUUAACGGUGGAUCCGCGCCGGGUACGGGCGGGCUUGAGUGCGGUAGGGGAGACUGGAAUUCCCGGUGUAACGGUGGAAUGUGUAGAUAUCGGGAAGAACACCAC